GAUGAACGCUGGCGGCGUGCCUAAUACAUGCAAGUCGAGCGAACAGACGAGGAGCUUGCUCCUCUGACGUUAGCGGCGGACGGGUGAGUAACACGUGGAUAACCUACCUAUAAGACUGGGAUAACUUCGGGAAACCGGAGCUAAUACCGGAUAAUAUAUUGAACCGCAUGGUUCAAUAGUGAAAGACGGUUUUGCUGUCACUUAUAGAUGGAUCCGCGCCGCAUUAGCUAGUUGGUAAGGUAACGGCUUACCAAGGCAACGAUGCGUAGCCGACCUGAGAGGGUGAUCGGCCACACUGGAACUGAGACACGGUCCAGACUCCUACGGGAGGCAGCAGUAGCGAAUCUUACGCAAUGGGCGAAAGCCUGACGGAGCAACGCCGCGUGAGUGAUGAAGGUCUUCGGAUCGUAAAACUCUGUUAUUAGGGAAGAACAAAUGUGUAAGUAACUAUGCACGUCUUGACGGUACCUAAUCAGAAAGCCACGGCUAACUACGUG
rnacentral:rRNA from 1 species